GCCCAGUGAGAUGAACCGUUUGUAGGACCAACCCCAACCCCCGGGGAGCGCGAAAGCGAAAGUGGGGAAGCGGAAGGCAGCGGCCGGCGGCAACGCGGCGUCUUCCACGGCGCCGCUGAGGGCGCUGCUGCUGAAGAUGGGAACGCUGCGGAAGUGCCGGUGGGAGGACGCGGAGCCCCACUCCGUCGAGAUCAUCGAGAGCCGGCGACGCCGUCCGGCGAACCCACGACUUCGAGAACUGCACCCACUACUUCGUAAUCUAGGGUUAGGAGGCUUGAUGAAUGGGUUAAGCUUGAGCAGCUGGAUCUUAGUUCGGUGGAUACUGAUGUGUAUGGAGAGGCCACAAGAAUGAGGACACAAAACCAGAAACGGAAGAUGGAGGAAGCAAGCACUGAGUUUCCUCCAUUGCGACCUGGUGUCACAGGUUCGAAAAACAGAAGCGGCCUCUCCAUUCAGCAUAGUGGGAACACCAAAGAGAGCACUUUCUGAUCUGGGACAGUGAAGCUACUGGUCAUACUGGACUAGGGUUCUUUUAAAUGCGCUGAAAGAGCACAAAAGUGACACUGAUAUCUCCAUCAGUGUAAGAUCCUUUUGCACUUUCAUUCAUGUUCAUUUCUUUUUUUGGGUAAGGAUGUUCAUUUUUUAUUUUUAAAACUUAC